rnacentral:rRNA from 1 species
CAGUAGCCGCGGUAAAACGAGGGGGGCAAGCGUUGUUCGGAAUUAUUGGGCGUAAAGGGUGCGUAGGCGGUUUGGCAAGUUUGGUGUGAAAUCUUCGGGCUCAACUCGAAGUCUGCAUCGAAAACUGCCGGGCUUGAGUAUGGGAGAGGUGAGUGGAAUUUCCGGUGUAGCGGUGAAAUGCGUAGAUAUCGGAAGGAACACCUGUGGCGAAAGCGGCUCACUGGACCAUUACUGACGCUGAGGCGCGAAAGCUAGGGGAGCAAACAGGAUUAGAUACCCCAGUAGUCCCUGUCUCUUAUAC